AACGAACGCUGGCGGCAUGCCUAACACAUGCAAGUCGAACGAGACCUUCGGGUCUAGUGGCGCACGGGUGCGUAACGCGUGGGAAUCUGCCCCUUGGUUCGGAAUAACUUCGGGAAACUGAAGCUAAUACCGGAUAAUGUCGUAAGUCCAAAGAUUUAUCGCCAAGGGAUGAGCCCGCGUAGGAUUAGCUAGUUGGUGGGGUAAAGGCUCACCAAGGCGACGAUCCUUAGCUGGUCUGAGAGGAUGAUCAGCCACACUGGGACUGAGACACGGCCCAGACUCCUACGGGAGGCAGCAGUGGGGGAAUAUUGGACAAUGGGCGAAAGCCUGAUCCAGCAAUGCCGCGUGAGUGAUGAAGGCCUUAGGGUUGUAAAGCUAUUUUACCCGGGACUGAUAAUGACAGUACCGGGAGAA
rnacentral:rRNA from 1 species